rnacentral:misc_RNA from 1 species
CAAAAAUAGAUGGUCAAGGUAUUGUGUAUUUGAAUUUGUUCAAACAUUUGAACAUUGAUUAUUAGUUCCAACAAUUCUAUAUGCCAUAUGGCGAAAUUGUUGUUUUUCUAUGGUUGUCUUAUGAUAUUGUCUUCUACUCUAUUUGAUUGUGUUGGAAAAUUUAGCUGUGCUUAUGAGGCUGUUACUUGUUAUUCUGGUCAGCAUAUAGUAUAACUAGGUGACAAACAGAAUUUCAAAUUUUGCAGCUUUUGUGCUUUCUGGUUGGG